UACGUAGGGGGCUAGCGUUGUCCGGAAUCAUUGGGCGUAAAGCGCGUGUAGGCGGCCCGGUAAGUCCGCUGUGAAAGUCGGGGGCUCAACCCUCGGAUGCCGGUGGAUACUGUCGGGCUAGAGUGCGGAAGAGGCGAGUGGAAUUCCUGGUGUAGCGGUGAAAUGCGCAGAUAUCAGGAGGAACACCAAUUGCGAAGGCAGCUCGCUGGGACGUGACUGACGCUGAGACGCGAAAGCGUGGGGAGCAAACGGG
rnacentral:rRNA from 1 species